CAUACUACAAUUCACCAAGACGGCUGGAUUUACUUCAGCGGGAGCAAGAGCAAACUCAAGACCACUGGAGAGGUGAAUGAAUCAAUCACCAGAAGACUUUGGAGAUGAGAUUUGAUUGCCUGGGGAUUCUUCAGGGAUGGGAUCUGCGAGAAAUCCCUGACAUGCUGGGACGACACAUGUGCUGAAAAGAGAUUGGUCUGGUUCAUUAGAACCAGAUGUAAAAAUGCUGCCUCCAGCUAACGCCAUCCCCUGCAAACUGCCUUCUGUGAGCACCUUUCCUCCCUGCUGCCCAUCUCCUACCAGCCCUGUGAUCUCUGCCCGACUGGUUUGAUUCUCUUGGUGAGACCCCUGCACCUUCACCUAGAUUCCUCCCUGGACUGCUGCGGUGAAUGGAUCUGACCGCCGAGGGAAUCUGGCCCACUGAAUUCCUUUUCUUUCUGUGCAGCUGAAUGAAAAGCAUGUCCUUUGAAGACCAGUGACUGAAAGAAAUAUUGAAGACUGCCAGGGCAUCUACAGAAAAGGAUAAGAAAAUUACUCUACUACAACAGGGAAGACAAAGGGGCUUUGUUAACUCUUUCUUGUAGGUUGUAUAUAUUAAUAGUAACAACUAAAGUUUUGUAUUUUUUCAGAGAAACACACAAGGCUUUGAAUUGUAUUGUUUUAAUUGCAGCUAACUGAAUGAAUUAAGUGGAAAAUCGCACACAGUACUUUGAUUGUCUAACUCUCUGUAUGUGAGGCUUUGGGAACAGUUUGUUAUUAUAAAAGAACAGCAUUAACAAGAAAUCAGCCAACAUAUAAUUGCUAGGCUGAGGGGCAGUUUGGGGAAAGCUGAUAUUUAUUUAUAAAUUAUUAAAUAAAAGCACAUAAUAUGUG